rnacentral:rRNA from 1 species
AAAGGAAUAGACGGGGGCCCGCACAAGCGGUGGAGCAUGUGGUUUAAUUCGAUGAUACGCGAGGAACCUUACCUGGGCUCAAACGUAAGUUGACUAUAUGUGAAAUCAUAUAUCCCUUCGGGGCAAUUUACGAGGUGCUGCAUGGUUGUCGUCAGCUCGUGCCGUGAGGUGUCGGGUUAAGUCCCAUAACGAGCGCAACCCCUAUCAUUAGUUGCCAUCAGGUCAAGCUGGGGACUCUAAUGAAACUGCCUACGCAAGUAGAGAGGAAGGUGGGGAUGACGUCAAAUCAGCACGGCCCUUACGUCCAGGGCUACACACGUGCUACAAUGGCCGGUACAGUGGGCAGCUACUUAGUGAUAAGAUGCUAAUCUCCAAAUCCGGUCUCAGUUCGGAUCGAAGUCUGCAACUCGACUUCGUGAAGUUGGAAUCGCUAGUAAUCGCACAUCAGCUAUGGUGCGGUGAAUACGUUCCCGGGCCUUGUACACACCGCCCGU